UACGUAGGGGGCAAGCGUUGUCCGGAUUUACUGGGCGUAAAGAGCGCGUAGGCGGUUGGUUAAGUCGCGUGUGAAAGCCCCCGGCUCAACUGGGGAGGGUCACGCGAUACUGAUCGACUCGAAGGCAGGAGAGGGAAGUGGAAUUCCCGGUGUAGUGGUGAAAUGCGUAGAUAUCGGGAGGAACACCGGUGGCGAAGGCGGCUUCCUGGCCUGUUCCUGACGCUGAGGCGCGAAAGCGAGGGGAGCAAACGGG
rnacentral:rRNA from 1 species